rnacentral:lncRNA from 1 species
AUGAGGAAAGAAGGAAGGAAAGAAAGAGGAAAAGAAAGAAAGAAGGGACAAAGGAAGGAAGGAAGGAAGGAAGGAAGGAAGGAAGGAAGGAAGGAAGGAAGGGAGGGAGGAGUCCCUCAAGCCUGCAGGAAGGGCCCCUGCCUCUCACCUGGCCUUCGCCCCAGCCGAGGAGGAGGAGGAGGCAGAGGAGGGGGCUGCUGCUGCUGGUACCGCUUGCUGGCUUGGCUCCCCCGCCUCCCUCCUUCCUUGCCUUGGAGAGGACGGAGAAGCGCACCAUGGACCAGCGGCGCCAUCCCACCUUCGGGGCAGAAGGGAAGGCGAAGGUGGCGGGGAAGCAGGCAUUGUGGCCAGGUGGGGGCAGGCACCGGUCAGGCAGGAGCAGGCAUCACGGCCAGGUGACAGCCGCAUUGACGAAAAACAACAGGAAAAACUCAGCCGCUAUCAGGACCUCAAGAUUGAACUUCAAAGACUCUGGCAGAAACCAGUGCAGGUGGUCCCGGUGGUGAUGGGCACACUGGGUGCCGUGCAAAAAGAUCUCAGCCGGCAUUUGGAAACAAUAGACAUUGACAAAAUUACGAUCUGUCAACUGCAAAAGGCCACCCUGCUGGGAUCUGCGCACAUCAUCCGAAAAUACAUCACAAAGUCCUAGACACUUGGGAAGUGUUCAACUUGUGAUUUUGUGAAACGAAAUCCAGCAUAUCUACCUUGUUUGCUGUGUCAUACAAUAAAAUAAUAUUUAUUAUUUAUUUAUAGUCCUAUCUCCCCAGGGGGACUCAGCGAAUUCCAACAUACAAAAAGGAAAACAUUCAAUUCAAUACCUUAAUAAAAAAAAUGUGAUCAGAAUUAUGGUAAAUUCUGGUAAAAACUGAAAUAAACCAAAACAUGCAAAUGUCCAUGUCAAUAAGUAAAGCUACUGUCGAUAUUAAGAAGACUGUGAUUUAACCUUUGGCUGUUGACGUUCAUUCAGCACCAGUAGAUGGAAUACAGAAGUGUUCCCUUUUUAAGAGUUAAAUUUCCAAAGCCCUAGACUUACCUCACAGCCUCCUGCAGACUGCACAGGUUCAUUUCUGCCUGAACAGUAUGUCAAAUCCUGUUUCCUUUUCUGUUUUGGCCAUUGGGGACUCUGGGAGGGAGAAAAGUGUAAACCUUUUGCGGUUCAGCCUGCAUGAAUACACUUUCACCAUUACGGCCGAAACCACAAGAUGCAGGGACUUGGAGGCUUUUGUGACUCUAGAUGCAUCACAGUUAUUUCCCUGUAUCAUUAUCACCAUUAUCAUCAUAUCAUCUUUGCCUUAGAAAUAACAGAGUUUUAAAACUAGCAUAACUUUUCUGUGCCUUCUGGUUGGCCUAAUAAAAGUACCAGCUACAGGAAACAGUGAGACUCAAGAUAUGCCUGUUCACCUGAUCUGAAGGUUGCAGCUUUCAUUUGCCAAAUAGUCUUUCUACCAGCAGAGCCUUUCUUUGACAUAAACCCCUUUUAGCCUUAUGAAUGCAUUAGAAGAAAUGUGGACAAAAAUGCAUACUUGAGUGUAUGUCAGUUUCUGAUUUAGUGGUAGGCAAUCUCAAAUUGUUUUUAGAAUGUAAAUCUCAUGAUCCCUCACCAUUGGCUAUGUUAUAAUGAGGACUGUAGGUACAAAAAAAUUGAAGGUCAUGAAGUUGACCAAGUCAGCAAAGCAUGGUUCUAUAUUCUGUCAGUUUUGCUUCUUCCACGUUCAUUUCUUUCUUCACCAAAAGUUCUUUCUGAAGUUUGGAGCAUACUUAUUUUUUAAAAAGAAAAAUUCUCACUCAUAUCUCAUGUCAUUACAUACAUACAGUAUUUGUCAGUUUGAAAGGUCACAACAGUAGUGUUGUUUGUAUUGAAUGUGUUUAUUGCAUUUUAAUUGUAUUGAAUGUUUUUAAUAUGCAAGAUGUAUGCAACAAUUAGUUCAGGUAGUACUUUAAUAUUGUUGCACUUUUAUAUCAUAUCUAUUUAUUUUGUAUGUGAAUGGCUUAUAGUCUAGCAUUAAUAAACUACCUACCUACCUACUCACAAGACUCUUGUCUUUGCCACACAGCUAUCGUGGGAGACGAGAAAUAAUUUAAAAAGUGCAGACUGUAAUGUGUUCUUUACACUGAUAGAUUUCUCUUUAUCUUUAUUGCAGCCCCCAUAUGAGAGCUCUAUGAUUGAGGAAAUUAGAUGGUACAGUCAGGAGACUGGAAACCAGGCACCACAUCUAUGGAGGUGACAAUUAUAUAUUUUGCAGUAACAACUUGCAAAAUUGCUGGCUCUUAAAAGAAAGAGGAGGCUGUUGUGAUUGCAAAUGGAGUACUUUAAAUACUGAAGAAAGGCACAAUAUAUUACAGAUUAUAAGUAUUACUUGCAUUACAGGAACUAAACACCGAAUAGAUUUCUCUCUUUCUCCUUCUCUUUGCGGAGUCAGAAGAACGGUUCUAGUUAAACCUGAAACAAAGAGUUUCUGACACCAAUGCUUUAUUUUGAAGCACCUUGACCUCUGAAGUAGACGACCUUGAGUUAUCUCCAAAAAUGCAUAAAACUUAAGCUUUUCUUUUUUGGUAACCCUCAUCAUUUUGGUGUUCUAUUCAUUGCUUUUCUUCUGGAAAUUGUCAAAUGGAAAUAAAACAUAAUCCUAAGAAGUUUUUGAAAAACAAUGACCUGAAGUCUUAGAAUAACAAAUUCUGGCGGAGUUUUUGUGUGCAUCAGGAGUUAUAAUUGUAAAAUGUAUGGUGGUAUGCAUUUCUAACAGACACCUUGCUGGAAAGCAGGAAGUAGCAAGAUCACAGAUAUCGAGUAUGUGCCCUACCUAACGGUGCAUCCAUACUGUAGAAUUAAUGCAGUUUGACACCACUUUAACUGCAACUGCUCAAUGCUAUAGAAUGCUGGUUAUUGUACUCUAACAUUGGAUUUGGCUUUCUGGGUCAGAUGGUGCUGAUGUCUCAUCAAACUACAGUGCCUAUGAUUUUAUAGAAUUCAGUCUUAGGCUAUUUAGGCACCCCAUCAUCCUGAUAGUUCUCACAGUAGAUCUAAGAAAUUAUGAUAUGAAGGCAAUAUAGAUUCUAUGGAAACAUGCAUAACACUAUUUGUUCGUAUCAUUUAAUCAUAAUAGUAUACAAAUAAGGAAUUGAAAUGGUACUUUGCUAGCUGGUGAUGAGAGGCCAGUGUGGAGACCCUAAUGAAUAAUUGUAUCAUUUCUAUUGUCUAUUUCCCCCAUAAGCUGAAGGUAGCAUACAAGGUUCACCGUCACAUUAAAGAUCCGUUAAAAUACUAAUUUUUACCUCAAUAUGGGAGCAAAUGGAUGCUUCUGUGCAGUAUUAUUCUCAUAUCUGCACAUUCUGAAAUUUUCUGGUAAACAACCUGUACAAAAAUACUGGUUGAGAAUCCAUUAUCCAAAGUGCUUGGAACCAGAAGUGUAUUGGAUUCAUCCUCCCACAGAUUUUACAUAUGCAUACAUUAUGAGAUAUUUUGGAGAUGGG